UACUCAGUCUCCAGUAACUAUAAAGACAGCUACUCCUGUGCUGUGAAAGGCCAUGAGGAUCUCCGGUCUCCUGCAGUCUGUGUCCAGGGUCAGGACUGCAACAGAGUGACUUACACCAAGAGGAGAAUCUGUGUCUUGAAGGGGUCAUCAGUGGACAUAUCAUGUACUUAUGGCAGUGGUAAUGAUACCGUCACAUCAUCACUCUGGUUUAGUCCUAAACAGAGUGCUAGGUGGAGUGAUAAGUUGAUCCCUGAGGACAUAACCACAGACCCAGGGUAUGCAGGUCGUGUGGAGUAUGGUGGAGAGAAGGAGAGAGGUCACUCCACCCUGAGAAUCACAGAUCUGAGAGAAGAGGACUCAGCUGAGUACAAGUUCAUAUUCAACACACAUACAUCAAGAUGGGGAUACAGCUUGACUGGAACAACUCUGACUGUCACAGGUUACACUGAACAAAUGAUCAUGUUUAUACAUACAUUUCUAUGUGAUGUUUAAUUAUAAUUAUUGAGGAAAGUUUGCUGGCUCACCUGUCUCCCUGACUGUCACAGAUGUUGUGUUGGAGAUGGAUCCUACAUCUGUGUCAGAGGGGGCGAGAGUCACACUGACAUGUAGAACCAAAUGUACACUGG